rfam:Triticum aestivum genome assembly, contig: Triticum_aestivum_CS42_TGACv1_scaffold_548774_6DS
AAAGUACUCCCUCCGUCCCAAAAUUCUUGUCUUAGAUUUGUCUAGAUACGGAUGUAUCAAGUCACAUUUUAGUAUUAGAUACAUCUGUAUCUAGACAAAUCUAAGACAAGAAAUUUGGGACAGAGGGAGUAGUUG